rnacentral:rRNA from 1 species
CGAGUUUGAUCAUGGCUCAGAACGAACGCUGGCGGCAUGCCUAACACAUGCAAGUCGAACGAGACCUUCGGGUCUAGUGGCGCACGGGUGCGUAACGCGUGGGAACCUGCCUUUAGGUUCGGAAUAACUCAGAGAAAUUUGAGCUAAUACCGGAUGAUGUCUUCGGACCAAAGAUUUAUCGCCUUUAGAUGGGCCCGCGUAAGAUUAGCUAGUUGGUGGGGUAAAGGCCUACCAAGGCGACGAUCUUUAGCUGGUCUGAGAGGAUGAUCAGCCACACUGGGACUGAGACACGGCCCAGACUCCUACGGGAGGCAGCAGUGGGGAAUAUUGGACAAUGGGCGAAAGCCUGAUCCAGCAAUGCCGCGUGAGUGAUGAAGGCCUUAGGGUUGUAAAGCUCUUUUACCCGAGAUGAUAAUGACAGUAUCGGGAGAAUAAGCUCCGGCUAACUCCGUG